UAUUCGGUUAUCCCGUUGAUAAUGGUUAUAUGCUCCACUCAAAGAUAAAGCCAUGCAGGUGCAAGUACGAGUACUCGUAAAGCGAAACUUAGAAUGGCUCAUUAAAUCAGUUUUGGUUUCUCAGCACCGAUUUGAAUUGUAAUAUUUUACUGCAGAAACUCCACGGUCAACCACCACGCCGUUCGCAAACCGUGUGACAAAGCAAGGCGAGAAACCAACGCGAAGCCGAUGGACAAGAGGUCGUGUUCGAAGGCAUGCAAAAUUAUUUGCAUCUGGAAUUGCCUUCUUAUUCCUUCUUACUGUUUAUGUGUUCUGUAAAUGCUGCUGUGGUACCUGCAAAUGUUCGUCUUCUUCCAAUAAGAGUAAAAGGCAAACUCGAAAUUCAGUAACAAAUAGAAAUAAGCCGAUUCCACUGCAUGCCAUACCCCUGCAUGCUGCACAACCUACAUCAAUGUCUUUAUAUCACCGUGGGCAAGUGUUAAACUCCGUUUGAAAACGACUAUCCAACAUACCAAAAGGCUUUUCAUCUAUUUCGAUAACGUUGCCGGAAACAUUUUGCUGUUAUUUCUAUUGUAUUUUGGAAAUUAAAUACACAGAAGACUAAACGAAUAUACCCCGAUUUGACAUAUAUAUUGCUGUAUAUUCGAUAUCAUCUUACCCAAUUUUGUGGCGUGCAAUUUGUUUUAAUAAAGCUGAAUCCAACAAUCCAACGUGUCCUUUCAUUGAACAGAACAUGUUAUUGAGAAGCAACACUGACACUGAUUUUUAAGCUAAUAAAAGAUCUUGUCAGAACUUUUUUUAUGCAGUAUAUUUAUGAUUAUGCAGCCAAUGACACUUUCACGUUUAAGAAAUAAUGAAAAAAAAAGUAUAAGUAUGGUUUAUGAACGCAUAGAGCUAUCUAUAGGCAACAUUUGUUUCAGUUUCGGUUCCAGGUCAGAUUUUGUCCUGCAGGAUUCUUUUUGUAGCAGACUAUUCGUCGUUGAGAUUCUGAUCUUUGUUGA